UACGUAGGGGGCAAGCGUUGUCCGGAUUUAUUGGGCGUAAAGAGCGUGUAGGCGGCCAGACAGGUCCGUUGUGAAAACUGGAGGCUCAACCUCCAGACGUCGACGGAAACCGUAUGGCUAGAGUCCGGAAGAGGAGAGUGGAAUUCCUGGUGUAGCGGUGAAAUGCGCAGAUAUCAGGAAGAACACCCGUGGCGAAAGCGGCUCUCUGGAACGGUACUGACGCUGAGACGCGAAAGCGUGGGGAGCGAACAGG
rnacentral:rRNA from 1 species